ACGGGUGUAGCUCAAUUGGUAGAGUAGCGGUCUCCAAAACCGUUGGUUGGGGGUUCGAGUCCCUCCACCCGUGCUA
rnacentral:tRNA from 1 species